rnacentral:rRNA from 1 species
AUGAACGCUGGCAGCGCGCCUAACACAUGCAAGUCGAGCGGAGGUGUGGAGUAGUUUACUAUGAAGCAUCUUAGCGGCGGACGGGUGAGUAACGCGUGGGCAACCUGCCCUAUGCAGGGGGAUAACAUAUCGAAAGGUGUGCUAAAACCGCAUAAAGCUUAAGAAUCGCACGAUUUUCAAGCCAAAGAUUUAUCGGCAUAGGAUGGGCCCGCGUCUGAUUAGCUAGUUGGUGAGGUAAAGGCUCACCAAGGCGACGAUCAGUAGCCG